rnacentral:rRNA from 1 species
GACGAACGCUGGCGGCGUGCCUAAUACAUGCAAGUUGAGCGCUGAAGGUUGGUACUUGUACCAACUGGAUGAGCAGCGAACGGGUGAGUAACGCGUGGGGAAUCUGCCUUUGAGCGGGGGACAACAUUUGGAAACGAAUGCUAAUGCCGCAUAAAAACUUUAAACACAAGUUUUAAGUUUGAAAGAUGCAAUUGCAUCACUCAAAGAUGAUCCCGCGUUGUAUUAGCUAGUUGGUGAGGUAAAGGCUCACCAAGGCGAUGAUACAUAGCCGACCUGAGAGGGUGAUCGGCCACAUUGGGACUGAGACACGGCCCAAACUCCUACGGGAGGCAGCAGUAGGGAAUCUUCGGCAAUGGACGAAAGUCUGACCGAGCAACGCCGCGUGAGUGAAGAAGGUUUUCGGAUCGUAAAACUCUGUUGGUAGAGAAGAACGUUGGUGAGAGUGGAAAGCGCAUCAAGUGACGGUAACUACCCAGAAAGGGACGGCUAACUACGU